AGGGAUCUGAGACCCGCAGUAUGGCAGUGACAAGAUCCAAGUCUUGGGACACCUAGCCAGGAGGGAAGAAUUUGAGGGAGAGGUGGAAAAUAUGCGAGGCUGAACUGACCUUCAAGGACAAGAAGGCUGUGUUCAGAUAGACAGAGUUUGUCUUCUGGGAGAGGAGUGGGCUUAUCCAGGAUGAUCCCAAAGGCAGAUUGAGGACCAGUGGGAGGACAUCCUGAGAAAGCAGAUCCAGCUUUAGGCAAGGAAGGACUUCGUAACAGGCAGAGAGCCCAUGUUGGAAACAAGCAGCUCUGCAAGGUGUGGGCCCACUGUCUGACUCCCUGCGGGGCUGCUGCCUUGGAAGAGCCUCCUGCUUAGAGAGGUUCUCCUGCCGCCAGCUGUCUCUCCUGAGUCCUGAGCACCACAUCUCUGGACCGUCUGGAGCCUCCCCUCCCUUGGCUUACUGCUCCCACCACCCUCUCUCUCCACCUUGCAAGAGACACUCUCCCUCAUCCUGGGUCAUCACCCUCUUUAGAGGCGCCGCCUGGCCACGAGGUGGGCAGGAUCUUGGCCUUACUUGAUGCAGUGCACACCUCCAACAGGCAUCAGAUGGAGUGCAGCCGGGAGCAAGAUUCUCAUAGCAAUUACAAAGAUUCACAAGAAAAUGUGCCCUCCACUACACAGCUGUAAUUUACAUGCUUUCAAACUUGAUAUGGAAUGACUGUGGUUUCCCCUGAAAGAAGCAUCACUGAUCUCUGCACAGGAGAAACAAGGGUGUGUUAGGAGUUACAUCCACUAACCUCUGGGGCUAGAAUGUUCCUCCUAAUCCCGGAUUACCAGCUUACAACCCCAAUGCCCACUUUCUCAAACAAGCCUCGUCUUUUUAAAGACAGGAUCUUGCUCUGUCACCUAGGCUGGAGUGCAAUGGCACACUCACGGCUCACUGCAGCGUCAAACUCCCAGGCUCAAGUGUUCCUCCUACCUCAGCCUCCUGAGUAGCUAGGACCACAGGCCCAGACACAAAGCAGAUGUGCAGUGGAGUGUGAAAGAGGCAGCCAACUCACUGGGGAGCUUCAGAGGGAGAUGGCCCAAAUUGCUGGGGCCUAAGAAUCUCCCGGAAUGAAGGAACAGUAGAAAGAACUGGAAGCCAAAUAUGGUGAUAGAGACUCUCAUCAAGGACACUGAGUAAACCAGAAACCUGCUUGGGCUCACGUUCCUUGUCUCUUCUUCUCAGAUCCAGGAAAGGAGCUGUCCAGGACAAUGAGGAUAGGCUGAGGAAAGACAGGCCACGGCCUUGCCUCUGUGCCAGCUCUCAUGGGCCAGGCAGAGUAUCCCAGGACAACUGCCUCCACAACCAGCUCCAUCCUUCAUCAGCAAUUCAGUACCUGAUUAACAAAUCUGUACCCCAGGAGGUUAUGCCAAGUCCAACUUCUUCCAGAGACCACAACAAUAAAUCCAAGCCACUGCUAAUGUCAUUUAUAAGCUGUGGGAUUAAAACAGAGAAGCAAUCAAUUAAUUAAAAUUAGCUCUUUAUUGAAA
rnacentral:lncRNA from 1 species